rnacentral:lncRNA from 1 species
GGCAUUUUUUUAAACAAGUAAAAGUAGGAAAUACAUAAAAUUGUAGGUACUUUGAAGAAAUAUAGUUAACUGUAAGUGCUGUAUUUUAAUAAUCUAUCAAAAAUCAAAAUCAUCAGGAUAAUAUUAGGUAUUGAUUUUCAGACAAGAAUUAGAUUACAGUGAUGGUCAAAAGCAUUUAGAUAUUGCUUUGAAAUCUACAGAUAAGGUAUGGCAGUUUCAUUUUAAAGAACAAGAUGUUGAAGUUUGUGAUAAAAUUGUCAUCAGAAAUACUGUCCACUUCAGUAUUUACAUAGGAAAAUAUUGGAGGAUGAAGCUCUACCUACUGCCUCAGGUUAAUUUAAAUUCUGAAUUGCAACAACAGCAACAAGCAAGAAGGGCACCAUUAAAUGAAUAUUAUACACAUAAAGCAACAACAGAAUAAAAAACCAAAAUAUGAACACCAGCAACUAAAACAGGAACCAUUAAAUGAAUAUUAUACACAGCAAUAACAGCAUCAAAUAAUGGAAAUAAUGGACU